rnacentral:precursor_RNA from 7 species
GACACAUUUAGGCAGAAUUCUCACCUUACUAUAUGAGUAUUCUGCCUAAAUGUGGUGUACGGAUACAUUUAGGCAGAGCACUCGUACAGUAAGGUGAGAAUCAGGAAAUCUGUAAUAAA